rnacentral:lncRNA from 1 species
CCCGCAUUCCGACCUCGGCCCGCACUCACCUUUCUCAGGCCACUGCUAUCCUUCACGUGCGACUUCGCUGAAACGCGCCACCAAACCCGCGCCUCAACUCGGGGCGUUGGUUUACCUUCUCCGCAUGCGCAAGGCGGGAUGAGCUCGGAGACUAGCCGGCCUUCCUCACAAUCGAAGCCUGUGCCGGGAGCGCAUGCGCCCCGCUUUAUCUAUUGCGUUUCUUUUUACCCCCACAAGCAUUCCCACCGAGAGAAGAAUGGGAUCGGAAGUUCCAGCAGGGAACGGAAGUCUCUGGCUGGAAAGGGGAAAUAAGUGACUAUAUCUGGGCUGUAGAGUGGGUAAACUGGAUCUUUGAAAUCGGAGUGGAAGCUAAUCCUCCUCUUGCCACCACUCGGCAUUUUGGUUCAAUGUUGCCUUUUCCUAAGCCACCCAUGGCUCUGCCCUGCCUCAUCCUGUGCCUAGAAAGACCCCAGACUCAUCUGGCAGAGAGGAGAAGCAGCUGGAUGAGGGGACGACCAUGGCUGGAUGUCAGAGAGAAGCAGCUUGUCUUCAGAGGGACAGCUUAAGGCGUAACUUCUGAGACGAAUCUGGCUGGAGAUAGCUGGACUUCAAGGGAAGACUACAUACCGGCCUGUCCCAUCCCCCUCUUUUCAGCUCACCUUCCCUCUGAAAUCCACUUUGAUCAGCAAUAAAAUCCCAG